AAAACAGCAUGUCCCAGCAGUGUCUGGCUGGAAAAUGUUACAUUACCAGUCUAACCAUAUUUCUCUUUGCAAUAACAUUCCUUGCUUUUCUGUUCCCCAUGGAGCAUCAUCUCACAACAGUAGCAGUAGCUUCUUGGCAGCUCCUCAACUAAAUGAAUGGUGCUGUUUUAUUUCCCCUCUGCCUGGGAGUCUGGGAGGAGCAGCAGAAUUUGUCUUUGCCCUGUAUCCUCCUUGGUUUGCUCAUCCCCAGCUGCCUGGCCUGGCUGGGCUAUCAGAUCAGACCUAGUGUCUCUUUCCUCUUUGCUUCUGCCUGCUGCCUCACCGUCUCUCCACAGCAGAAGCCCAAAGCAAAGACAAGCCAGGAUGGCUGCAGGACCAGCUCCAAAAGGGAGAGGGAAAGCUCUCUGAAGCUGGGCAGGAUGCUCUGAGACACUGAGCAACCCAGUGCUGCCCUGGCUCUUCAUCUCUGCAAUGUGGACCAGCAGCCCCUCGCUGCAGAUUCCAAGGCCAUGGCGCUCAAUGUAGGGCAGGAACUUCAUCUCUGCAUCCAGUUUAACCCAGUUUAUGAGAACAAUCUGAAUAGCUGGGUGGCCAAGAGGGUUCUCCAGGAUGUGCUUCAUGGAGCAUCCUCAAGAGGAGCAGGUCACUGUUCAGGGAGAAGUCUACAUCCCAAAUCUCCAGACCCAGGCCAUGGACUUUGGCUGCAACAGGAAUGACACUGAACAAGUGCUGUAUAUGGAGAUGACCAACUGCAGCCCAAUUCCUGCCCAGUACCACUGGUCAUUCCAGACAGACAGCCAGACACCAUCAGGAGCUCUGUGGGACCAUUGGACUGUGAGCACAUCCUGGGAGUAUGCCUGCCUCGCUCUAGGUAAAGCAGGGAGGAAUUCUGAUGUACCAUGUGAGUGA
rnacentral:lncRNA from 1 species